AGAUUGAACGCUGGCGGCAGGCCUAACACAUGCAAGUCGAGCGGCAGCACGGGUACUUGUACCUGGUGGCGAGCGGCGGACGGGUGAGUAAUGCCUAGGAAUCUGCCUGGUAGUGGGGGAUAACGCUCGGAAACGGACGCUAAUACCGCAUACGUCCUACGGGAGAAAGCAGGGGACCUUCGGGCCUUGCGCUAUCAGAUGAGCCUAGGUCGGAUUAGCUAGUUGGUGGGGUAAUGGCUCACCAAGGCGACGAUCCGUAACUGGUCUGAGAGGAUGAUCAGUCACACUGGAACUGAGACACGGUCCAGACUCCUAGGGGAGCAGCAGUGGGGAAUA
rnacentral:rRNA from 1 species